rnacentral:rRNA from 1 species
GACGAACGCUGGCGGCGUGCCUAAUACAUGCAAGUCGAACGCAGUGGGGACGGGUGAGUAACACGUGGGUAACCUCCCAUCAGAGGGGAUAACACUUGGAAACAGGUGCUAAACCGAUACUUGUGGAUGAACCCGCGGUGCAUUAGCUAGUUGGUGAGGUAACGGCUCACCAAGGCCACGAUGCAUAGCGGACCUGAGAGGGUGAUCGGCAACACUGGGCUUGAGACACGGCCCAGACUCCUACGGGAGGCAGAAGUAGGGAAUCUUCGGCAAUGGCCGAAAGCCUGACCGAGAACGGCCGCGUGAGUGAAGAAGGUUUUGGGAUGGUAAACCCCUGUUGUUAGAGAAGCGGUAUCUAACCAGAAAGCCACGGCUAACUACGUGCCAGCCGCCGCGGUAAUUC